UGUUUCUAACUUCUAAGUAUGGGCUCCUCUGAUGCACAAGGCUGGACAUGUGGUUUAUUUCAGAGGUUCUAUAGGAGAAAAGCUGCUAGCUAGCUCUACCAAUAUGAUUCACACAAGUCACAGAAGAGAGAACGUUGAACCAUUAUAAUGGCGACAAUAGAGCAAACAAGUCAGAGAGCGAGCGGUGGUAUCUCAACAAGUUCGUGUUCUUCUAAAUCCUCUGCUUCAUCAUUUGUCUGAGUGAUGAGUUAAGAUAUGAGUACUAAAGAAUCAUUUUUUUUUGUUCGAUUUGAGGUUGAUUAAAAAGUUGUCUGAUGAUGAAUCCAUCUGCACUAUGGCCAGAAAACUAGUCACACAGUCAUCUCAAGCCAAAGGCAAUCAUCAAAAAAGCUGUUUGGCUGCUCCAUCUUUGCCUGCACUGCGCCAUCAAAGAAAUUAAAAAGUAAAGUCUGCUUCUUAAAAUUGAAUAUCAAAAUUCUUCUGAAAUUAUAAAUCAAACGAGAUUAAAAUGGUUAAGAUUAUGGACUACAUUAAUUU